UACGUAGGUGGCAAGCGUUUGUCCGGAAUUAUUGGGCGUAAAGCGCGCGCAGGCGGUCUUUUAAGUCUGAUGUGAAAGCCCACGGCUCAACCGUGGAGGGUCAUUGGAAACUGGGGGACUUGAGUGCAGAAGAGGAAAGUGGAAUUCCAAGUGUAGCGGUGAAAUGCGUAGAGAUUUGGAGGAACACCAGUGGCGAAGGCGACUUUCUGGUCUGUAACUGACGCUGAGGCGCGAAAGCGUGGGGAG
rnacentral:rRNA from 1 species